AAYGACUCUCGGCAACRGAUAUCUCGGCUCUCGCAUCGAUGAAGAACGUAGCGAAAUGCGAUACUUGGUGUGAAUUGCAGAAUCCCGUGAACCAUCGAGUCUUUGAACGCAAGUUGCGCCYGAAGCCAUYAGGCCGAGGGCACGUCUGGCUGGGUGUCACAYGACCU
rnacentral:rRNA from 1 species